rnacentral:rRNA from 1 species
CCUACGGGAGGCAGCAGUGAGGAAUAUUGGUCAAUGGGCGUAAGUCUGAACCAGCCAAGUCGCGUGAAGGAUGAAUGCCCUAUGGGUUGUAAACUUCUUUUAUAUGGGAAUAAAAUGUUCCACGUGUGGGAUUUUGUAUGUACCAUAUGAAUAAGGAUCGGCUAACUCCGUGCCAGCAGCCGCGGUAAUACGGAGGAUCCGAGCGUUAUCCGGAUUUAUUGGGUUUAAAGGGAGCGUAGGUGGACUUGUAAGUCAGGUGUGAAAGUUUGCGGCUCAACCGUAAAAUUGCAGUUGAAACUGGAAGGCUUGAGUACAGUAGAGGUGGGCGGAAUGCGUGGUGUAGCGGUGAAAUGCUUAGAUAUCACGAAGAACCCCGAUUGCGAAGGCAGCUUACCGGACUGUAACUGACACUGAGGCUCGAAAGCGUGGGUAUCAAACAGGAUUAGAUACCCGUGUAGUC